UGUGCACGGGUGCUUUCCUAUGACCUGA
rnacentral:piRNA from 1 species